rnacentral:rRNA from 1 species
GAUGAACGCUGGCGGCGUGCCUAAUAUAUGCAAGUCGAGCGAACGGACGAGAAGCUUGCUUCUCUGAUGUUAGCGGCGGACGGGUGAGUAACACGUGGAUAACCUACCUAUAAGACUGGGAUAACUUCGGGAAACCGGAGCUAAUACCGGAUAAUAUUUUGAACCGCAUGGUUCAAAAGUGAAAGACGGUCUUGCUGUCACUUAUAGAUGGAUCCGCGCUGCAUUAGCUAGUUGGUAAGGUAACGGCUUACCAAGGCAACGAUGCAUAGCCGACCUGAGAGGGUGAUCGGCCACACUGGAACUGAGACACGGUCCAGACUCCUACGGGAGGCAGCAGUAGGGAAUCUUCCGCAAUGGGCGAAAGCCUGACGGAGCAACGCCGCGUGAGUGAUGAAGGUCUUCGGAUCGUAAAACUCUGUUAUUAGGGAAGAACAUAUGUGUAAGUAACUGUGCACAUCUUGACGGUACCUAAUCAGAAAGCCACGGCUAACUACGU